rnacentral:misc_RNA from 1 species
GGAACUAUUGGUUCACCAUUAUCAUAUAUUUCUAAUUUCUUAUUUUUGUCACAACAAAAAAAUUUCCAAAAACGAUGAGCUGCAAUAUAAUCCACUUUGGAGCUAUUCUGAUUGCCUUCUUAUUUAACAGACCAAAAAGAAAUAAUCAAUUUCAUUCCACUCAAAAACCUAUACUUCUAACAGUACUAAAAGAGGAUAUUAAAUCAUCACCAACACAGGGAAAGGAUAUUAAAUGAUUUACUCUAAGAUGGAUGGCAUUAGUAUGAGGUCAAAGUAGCAAUUACAAAACAACUUGACAAUUGAGGCAGUCAGUAUAUAAAUGAGGAUUAACGGUCUUUGUCUUUAUGGAGGCUGAUUAUGAUAACUUACAAAAUUCAUGCAGAGAAUUGAUCAUGAUGGUUUAUAGACACUGCAUAAUUCAAUGAUAAUGGCUACCAAAAGUACUUACUGCACCAUUACAUAUCCUAAACAUGAUUGUAAAAUU